rnacentral:tRNA from 1 species
GGCUGGUUAGCUCAGCGGUUUGAGUGCGCUGCUGACAACAAUGACAACACCAAGGUCGCGGGUUCGAUUCCCGCUCUGUCCC